rnacentral:rRNA from 1 species
GAUCUUAGAAUCCUACUUGGAUACCUGUGGAAAAUCUAGAGCUAAUACACGCAAUCAAACCCUAACCUUACGGACAGGGUGCAUUUAUUAGAACAAAACCAAUUGGCUUCGGCCAUAGAUUGGUGAAUCUGAAUAACUACGCUGAUCGCACGGUCUCGUACCGGCGACGUAUCCUUCAAGUGUCUGCCUUAUCAACUUUCGAUGGUAGUCUAUAAGCCUACCAUGGUUGUAACGGGUAACGGAGAAUAAGGGUUCGACUCCGGAGAGGGAGCCUGAGAAACGGCUACCACUUCCAAGGAAGGCAGCAGGCGCGCAAAUUACCCACUCUCAGAACGAGGAGGUAGUGACGAAAAAUAACGAGACAGUUCUCUAUGAGGUCUGUCAUCGGAAUGGGUACAAUCUAAACCCUUUAACGAGGAUCUAUUGGAGGGCAAGUCUGGUGCCAGCAGCCGCGGUAAUUCCAGCUCCAAUAGCGUAUAUUAAAGUUGUUGCGGUUAAAAAGCUCGUAGUUGGAUCUGCGGUCAUUGACACUGGUCUCCUUCACGGAGUACUGG